CCUACGGGGGGCUGCAGUGGGGAAUAUUUGACAAUGGGCGAAAGCCUGAUCCAGCCAUGCCGCGUGUGUGAAGAAGGCCUUCGGGUUGUAAAGCACUUUCAGUGGGGAAGAAAGCCUUGGGGCUAAUACCCUCGAGGAAGGACAUCACCCCCAGAAGAAGCACCGGCUAACUCCGUGCCAGCAGCCGCGGUAAUACGGAGGGUGCGAGCGUUAAUCGGAAUUACUGGGCGUAAAGCGCGCGUAGGCGGUCUGAUAAGCCGGUUGUGAAAGCCCCGGGCUCAACCUGGGAACGGCAUCCGGAACUGUCAGGCUAGAGUGCAGGAGAGGAAGGUAGAAUUCCCGGUGUAGCGGUGAAAUGCGUAGAGAUCGGGAGGAAUACCAGUGGCGAAGGCGGCCUUCUGGACUGACACUGACGCUGAGGUGCGAAAGCGUGGGUAGCAAACAGGAUUAGAUACCCUUGUAGUC
rnacentral:rRNA from 1 species